rnacentral:misc_RNA from 1 species
AUUGGUUAUAGAACACCCACAUAUGUGGACCUAAAAGGUCAAAUUCCAUUUCAGCAUUACAUUUCCAUAAAGACGUGUGAGCAAACAUAGAUGUAUAAUCUACAACUAGCUAAUGAGUCCUCAGCCUCAACAGCUUGACAUAAUGUGAGAUGUACUAAUCAGUACUCAUAUUUCAUUUUGCGUUCGAUGAGUUCUCCCUGCAGUCAAUUCAUUUCUGGCUUAAUUCUUGAUUUG